GAACGUGUGCGGGAGGAAGAUUCUCGCGGCGCCGGGCGCUGGGCUCCCGCCAAGGGCGCUCCGGAAAGCCUCCCCCUGUGCUGGGCGCAGAGCUGGGCCGCGCCGCCAGCGGCUGGGGGCUGGCUGGUUAAUCUGUAACUCCCUACACCCCUCGGAGCCUCCAGGCCCCACUUUAUGGAGGAGAAGGGCCACCAGCUCCUCAUCGAGGUCCAGGGGAGGGGCCCAGGGCUGGAGCAAAGGCACACAUCUGCUGCCACUGGGGGACCUCAGCAGGCUGCCUCCUCUCGGAGCCUCGGGCUCCUCUGCAAAAUGGGCAUCAAAACGCCUCCCUCUGCGGGUUCUUGGAAGGAUUAAAUGAGGCAAAGAGCCCAGCCCUGGUGCAGGGUAGGCUGGAGACGG